rnacentral:lncRNA from 1 species
UUUAUUGUAUUUGGAUCAUCAAUAUAUUAUAUUUGGUUUAUAAAUCUUCUAAAUUAGUAUGGUUGUCUAAAUAAUCACAAUAUACAUUUUUCUUAAAGCAAAUUUAUUAUGAUUUGAAAAUAAAUAUUAAUUUGCAAAUGUCUUUUUGUCGAAUUAAUUGUUCUACAAGUAAUUUUUCAAAACUUGAAAAUAUAUAUAACAUAGUUAUUGUGAUUACCACAAAGUGAGAAUUAUAUAAAUAACAUAAUAUUGUAACUCUUGAAAAGAAAAAAAUGGAUCCAUCUAUAUUAUGGAAAAGAUUGGAACUAUAUUUUGUGCUAAUGUUAAAUCCAAUGUCAUGUUAAAUUAAUGAAUGGUUCAUAUAGUAAUAUAACUAAUUAGCUUUAGAAAAUAACAGUUAUAUCAACGUUAAUAGAAAAAAGAGACAAAGCGAUCAUAAUAUUUGUUAGGAUUUCGUUGAUUCCUUCCAGGUCCUUCAAAUUUUUUUUGUUAUUUAUACCUAAAUAAAGAUUUAAAAGCUUUUAGGAUUCACGAGUAUGUUGAAGU